rnacentral:rRNA from 1 species
CAAAAACAUUGCCUCAUGAAAACUAGAAUAUGAGGUCAGUCCUGCCCAGUGGCUUGCGAGUUAAACGGCCGCAGUAAACAUGACUGUGCUAAGGUAGCGUGAUUAGUUGCCCUUUAAUUGGGGGCGUGACGAAUGGAUUUACGAGGGUUAAGCUGUCUCCUGUCGAGCAAAUGAAAUUGGGCCACAGGUGAAAAUACCUGUAUGUGAACACAAGACAAGAAGACCCCGUAGAGCUUUGUUUAAAGCUAGGCGACAGGCGUUCUGUUUAGGGCGCCCGUCGGACUGAUAAAAACUUAACUGGGGUGGUUGAGGAAAAGCUAAACUUCUUUUCUCUAGUAGACGGCGAUAUGCCACGGAGGAUCUAUAGGGAAACAAUUUGUUCUAAUAUAGUCAAAAGAAAAGCUACCUCGGGGGUAACAGACUAAUUUUUCCUAAGAGUUCACAUUGACGGAAAAGUUUGGCACAUCGAUGUUGGCUUAGGAGAUCCCGUGGGUCAGUAGCAGCCUGCAAUGGUGGGUUUGUUCAACCUUUAAACUCCUACGUGAUCUGA